rnacentral:rRNA from 1 species
AUGGAUUGGCUGAGGUUAAGGAGUUUGUAAGAACUCUGAGAUUAAGCGUGCUUGGAUGAGAGUAGUACCAAGAUGGGUGACCUCUUGGGAAGUCUCACCAAAUCCAUC